UUAAGUUGUUGCAGUUAAAAAGCUCGUAGUCGGAUUUUGGCUGAGAACGAUCGGUCCGCCGUUAGGUGUGCACUGAUUGGUCUCAGCUUCCUGGUGAGGAGGUGUGCUUCACGGCCACUUAGUCACCGUGGUUACUUUGAAAAAAUUAGAGUGUUCAAAGCGGGCUUACGCUUGAAUAUAUUAGCAUGGAAUAACACCAUAGGACUCCUGUCCUAUUUCGUUGGUCUCGGGACGGGAGUAAUGAUUAAGAGGAACAGUUGGGGGCAUUCGUAUUUCAUUGUCAGAGGUGAAAUUCUUGGAUUUAUGAAAGACGAACUUCUGCGAAAGCAUUUGCCAAGGAUGUUUUCAUUGAUCAAGAACGAAAGUUGGGGGCUCGAAGAUGAUUAGAUACCAUCCUAGUCUCAACCAUAAACGAUGCCGACUAGGGAUUGGCGGAUGUUAAUUGAUGACUUCGCCAGCACCUUAUGAGAAAUCAAAGUUUUUGGGUUCCGGGGGGAGUAUGGUCGCAAGGCUGAAACUUAAAG
rnacentral:rRNA from 1 species